GUCUUGUCUGCUUUGGACUUUGGAGAGAGAGGAUGGACUGCAGCUGCCCGAUGCAUGUGCUUGUGGGGCCUGGCUGACCGAUGCAUCGUGCGUGCCUCACCUCCAUCUGCAGUUGGAGAGAGAGAUGGAUUGGUGCCUACGACGCGCUGGUCGACGCGGCGGCCGCCGCAGUCCGUGAGCCCGGGUGCACGGUGGCGCUCACGGACCUCCACCGCUGCCUUGAUGCCUUCAGCGAGUCCUGCGACCGAGCCGAGGGCCUCGUCCAGGCGGCCGCCGCCGGCCUCGGCCCCGUCGCCACCCGCCACGAUGAGCUGUGCCGCGCUGUUCGCGCGGUCGACAAGGAUCUCCGGGCCGCCGAGGAGAACGAGAUGGAAGAGGAGAAGCAUCGCCCUCCGACCACGCCGCUGGCGGCCGAGGACAAAUAGCCCAAUCGAUCUACCUCUUCUCCUGUUGAGGUGAUGUUCAUCGUUCUUGUUUUUUCCAUGUGAUGUUCAUCGUUCCUUUUAUUUUCUUGCUUGAUGUGCUAAUCGUGUUAGUCAUCUAGAAGAUGAAUGAAACUGUGACGGGAAAUGACAAAUGGACUGGGAUAUAUUGCCUCGCCGUGCCGCAUGGUGGCCGAGAUGCGGCAGCCGCAUGCUCUGUUCCGAUGGGCCUCCUCUGCUCGAUGUUGCUGCUCGUUGAGUUUGGUACAGUUUCCUGUUGUCGCUUGCGUCGAGCCUUGGGUCCGUCUCUCCUUCUCAUUGAGCCUACUUCUCUUGUCGCUGGCGCUUCUUCUUCUCGUCGGUCCUGCUGCUUACCAACCUUCUGCUUGCUGCCUCGGGUUGCACGAUCUCUGCUGUAGCUGCAUCGUUCGACUCAUCAAGGAAAAUUCCUAGGGAUUUGAUUGACGGAGGCAUCACUAUUUGACGUUGGAUUAUCCAUUUUUGCAGCACUAGCAAUGUUGUUUUUGUUUGGAAUGGCCAGUUCUCAAUUUCUAUUCUGUUAUCAACGAUACUGUACUUCUUGUCAGGUUACAUUAUCUUACUUGGUUUCAGUGUAUAUGUAGCACAAAAAUAGGUAACAUGGUUGUUUUCAUGCUCGAUUUGGUUUGUAGGUUACACUAAGGAACACCAUCAUAAGGAAAAGGGCAUUGCACUGCAUUGUUUAUAAUUGGCCUGUUACUAUUCGGUCUGCUGUAGUACUUAAUUGCUACACCAUUUCAAGUUAUGUAGUCUAAAAUAACCCUUUCAAAUGAACUUUUUAAAUUGAUAUUCAGAGCAUCAACAUGGUGGACUAGAUUAUGAAAUCAACUAUGAUCAUGAGAACUUGAAGCUAUUUGUUGACUAAAUUGUCAAUUGUUUUGCGUGAAUUAAAACUGGCAGUGUGAUGACAUUACUGUAGAUGCUUUGAUAUAUACAUUUGCCUAAUCCUCCCUCUCUCUAAUAUGUUCUCUUUUGUGAAGAUCCUUCGCAGAUCAAUUGGUGAGGCAGAAUGCUAAGCAUCGUUUCACAUUCAGGUUUGCUAUCAAACUCUCAAAAAGGAAAAACAACUUUACUCUGUUUUUUGGAGAACCUUCCUGUAGAGUACCUCGACAGAGACAAAUAUGCGAUCAAGGAUAUAUUCGAUGGAUUUUCAUGCAAAAUUUGGAGGAUAUUUUUGCAGAUAGUUUGGUGCUCUCAUGGUUAUUUUGUAGUGAUUUUCCUUCUGUUCAUUACUUGGUAACCAUCUACGGCAGCUCAGCUAUUGUCCAGCUGCUGACCUUGGAAAAAUGCGUGAAAAUGAUGGCCUAGAGUAUGUGAAUUGCACUCAAAUAUAUGCAGGUUUCUUGCCAAACUAACUGCCACUACUGUAUUUCAGGUCAAGAGCCAUGAAUAGGAGCAAGGCAUCACACUCCAGCUCUGAGAAGAAAAGGAUAUGAAGACAAAGAUAUCAGUGUUCUUCUCCGAAGCAAAAACAUUUUGCUUGUAAUAAUGGACUGUAAUUUACCACAAUCUCUAAAACAGGCCUACCUACUUGAUUUUGUAUUAGGAAGUAUGACUUAGUCAUAUAUAUUUACAUUCACUUUAUUUAGUUAUGGUUUGUAUGCAUGAAAAUACCUUUUCAUAAACGAGCUUGAAAAUUCUUAUGUGCAGUGAAAUUGUAUCUUA